rnacentral:rRNA from 1 species
AAGUUUGAUUGUAAUCAGUUCAUUGCUGGCAGGAUGCUACAUGCAAGUCGACAGCAGCACGGACUUCAGUCUGGUGGCGAGUGGCGAACGGGUAGUGUGUAUGGAACGAUGCCUAGUAGCGGGAAGAUAACUAUGAAAGCGUAGCUAAUACGCCGCCUCUCAGGGAAAGCAGGGGACCUUCAGGCCUCGCACUAUUAGAGCAGCCGAUAUCGGAUUAGCUAGUUGGUGGGGUAACGGCUCACCAAGGCGACGAUCCAUUAACUGGUUUGAAAUGAUAUGGGACUGGGGCCGGCCCCAGACUCCUGCAGGAGGCAACAGGGGGGAAUUUGGACAAUGGGAAAACCCUGAUCCAGCCAUCCCGCGUGUGCGAUACCCGAAGGCCUUCGGGUUGUUAAGCCACUUUUUUGGCAGGAAAGAAACGGCACCGGGAUAGCCCAUUUUGGCAGCAACCUGCAGAAUGCAGCACCGGCUAACUACGUGCCCAGCUUCAGCCGCCGUCCAAUACGUAGGUGCAAAGCGUUAAUCAACACUGGGCGUAAAGCGUGCGCAGGCGGUUCGGAAAGAAAAGAUCAUAAAAUCCCAGAGCUUAACUUUGGAACUGUUUAACUACCGAGCUAGAGUGUCAGAGGGAGGUGAAUUCCGCGUGUAGCAGUGAAAUGCGUAGAUAUGCGGGGAACACUGAUGGCCAAAACAGCCUCUGGGAUAACACUGACGCUCAUGCACGAAAGCGUGGGGAGCAAACAGGAUUGAAUACCCUGGUAGUCCACGCCUAAACGAUGUCAACUAGCUGUUGGGGCCUUCGGGCCUUGGUGGCGACUAACGCGUGAAGUUGACCGCCUGGGGAGUGCAAUUCGCAAGAUUAAACUCAAAGGAAUUGACGGGGACCCGCACAAGCGGUGGAUGAUGGUUAAUUCGAUGCAACGCGAAAAACCUUACCUACGCCAGUAUGUCUGGAAUCGAAGAGAUUUGGGAGUGCUCGCAAGAGAACCCGGAACAGGUGCUGCAUGGCUGUCGUCAGCUCGUCUGUGAGAUGUUGGGUUAAGUCCCGCAACAGGCGCAACCCUUGUCUGGUUGCUGCGAGGGCCACUCAUGAGACUGCCGGUGACCGACCGGAGGAAGGUGGGGAUGACGUCAAGUCCUCAUGGCCGCUGCUGGGUAGGGCUUCACACGUCAUACAAUGGUCGGGACAGAGGGUCGCCAACCCGCCCGAGAGAGGUAAUCAGAAACCCGAUCGUAGUCCGGAUCACCGAUCGCUCGGCUGCGUGAAGUCAGAAUCGCUAGUAAUCGCGGAUCAACUGUCGCGGUGAAUACGUUCAGGUCUUCGCCACACACCGCCCGUCACACCAUGGGGUGCGGUUUUACCAAGUAGUUCCUUCACCGUAAGGAGGGUGAUUACCACGGUAGGAUUCA